AUUAUGAUCUUUAAGGCUGAAAAUGUCACCCCCUCCAAAGGCAGCAGGGAGACCUGGCCCCUUAACUCACAGGACAGGCCUGGAAUUGUGGGCACCCAGGCAGGCUGCAGGAUUACCUCCUAUUGGGGGUCCUAUCCCACUCCCUGCUCUGGGUCCAGGCGUCUGCUAAACUGCAAAGAAAAGGCUUCACACAUAAAAGCAAAUGGAACCAGAGGACCUCCCGUGGCACCAGGGGUGGUGUCUGGACAUGCUGUGCGUGGAAUGGGGGAGUGCUGGGCCACUGAGCAAGGGCUCCUCCAUCACUUCUCUUGAAGCAAGAGAGACACAAAACUGUCGCUUUUCUUUCCAUUUGCAUGAUUUUUUUUGAAUUUUAUUUUACUUUUUUAUAGAGCAGGAUCUUAUUAGUUACCCAUUUUAUACAUAUUAGUGUAUGUAUGUCAAUACCAAUCUCCCAACUCAUCACACCACCCCCACACCACUUUCCCCCCUUGGUGUCCAUACGUUUGUUUUCUCCAUCUGUGUCUCUGUUUCUGCCCUGCAAACCAGUUCAUCUGUACCAUUUUUCUAGGUUCCACAUAUAUGCGUUAAUAUACGAUAUUUGUUUUUCUCUUUCUGACUUACUUCACUCUGUAUGACAGUCUCUAGAUUUUUUUCCCUCGUCAUCUUCAGACAGGCAGAGGAUGUGCGCGUGUGGGGUGUGCAGACACACUCCCAAGUUUCUACAGAGAACGGAAAAACAUGAAGGGCUGUCACUUAUUUCUGCAGGAGAAUUAAUGCCUUUUGGGGUCCUGAUGGCCUUGGGCUUCCUGCAGCCUCGCCUGGUGUCUCCUGGCUUCUCUACAGGGCUUUUGCACCUCCCGGCGACCCUCCCUCCUCACCCUCCACCCUUCCUAGUGCGUCUAAGAAGGCUGACGCCAGCAGCAGAGAAUUCGAGCUCUGCCUCUACCUGCCCGCUGUUCUUAGAAGCGUCACAGAACCAAGAGACGCCUGCCACACAGAUUUCAACCCACACGCCUUCUCCUCCCACCUGAACUGCCUCCUGCCAACGACUUUCUCUGCCAACUGCUGACGCCUGGAAGCCAUGUACCCACCAGCCAGUCACGUCUGCCUGGGGAUCUGCAGAAACCUUGGAGGUCCCGGCCCCACCCAGAUGGCCUCCAAGCUCCGACCUCACGCAUCCUGCACAUCCUCCGCAUCCUCUGUGUCCUGGUGCAAGCCAGAGGGGACCUGACCCCACCAGGCCUCCCAGAGGCACCUGCGGAUGGAGGUGGGCUCAGGGCACCGCAAGCGCUGCCCACCCGGCGUGAAGAUCCCCCCACCACCCGAGGCCCAGGGCUUCUCCCACCAGCGCCCUCUACUUCUCUAGAACAUCCAUUAAUUUAGCUACACUUCCUGAGUCUAGACACUUUCUGAAAGUUUGUGCCUAAGAUGAAACCCAGGCUCAUUCUGUCAGUACAUUUCGUUGGAAAAAAGAACAAACAACCUUCCAGAUGUCAUGGGAACUGACCCCACGAACUCCCCUUUUCUCACUGUGAUUGCGAGGUCUUCCCAGCUGUUAUCUUGGUUACAUCCACGUUCCUGACAAACGAUGAGCUCUUCUUUCCCCACCUCGCCUUCUCCAGGCGAGAUCUCAGACGGAUGGAAGAUAUCUCCCGGAAUCCCACAGCCUGCCAGCCCCUCGGAGGGUGGGGGCAGAACUUCACGAACCCUCCAAGUUCCUGAGGGUGUCCGUGUUUUAUCUUUAAUAUGCCUAAAGACAGAUUAGCACCAGGGUAAGGAAGAGUCAACAAAAGCCUGUCUUUACCUGGAA